UUAGGUUAAGUUAGAAAGGGCGCACGGUGGAUGCCUUGGCACUAGGAGCCGAAGAAGGACGUGACGAACAACGAAGUAGCGGCGAGCGAAACGGAAACAGCCCAAACCAAGGGGCUUGCCCCUUGGGGUUGUAGGACACUCUANACGGAGUUACAAAGAAACGAAGUAGACGAAGCGAUCUGGAAAGGUCCGCGAAACAAGGUAACAGCCCUGUAAUCGAAACUUCGUUUCCUCCAGAGUGUAUCCUGAGUACGGCGGGACACGUGAAACCCCGUCGGAAUCCGGGAGGACCAUCUCCCAAGGCUAAAUACUUCCUAGUGACCGAUAGUGAACCAGUACCGUGAGGGAAAGGUGAAAAGCACCCCGGGAGGGGAGUGAAAGAGAUCCUGAAACCGUGUGCCUACAAGUAGUUGGAGCCCGUUAAUGGGUGACAGCGUGCCUUUUGUAGAAUGAACCGGCGAGUUACGAUUACGUGCAAGGUUAAGCUGAUAAGGCGGAGCCGCAGCGAAAGCGAGUCUGAAUAGGGCGAAUGAGUACGUGGUCGUAGACCCGAAACCGUGUGAUCUACCCAUGUCCAGGGUGAAGUUCAGGUAACACUGAAUGGAGGCCCGAACCCACGCACGUUGAAAAGUGCGGGGAUGAGGUGUGGGUAGGGGUGAAAUGCCAAUCGAACUCGGAGAUAGCUGGUUCUCCCCGAAAUAGCUUUAGGGCUAGCCUCGAGGGAAGAGUAUUGGAGGUAGAGCACUGAUUGGACUAGGGGUCCCCACAGGAUUACUGAAUUCAGUCAAACUCCGAAUGCCAAAUACUUAUCCUCGGGAGUCAGACUGCGAGUGCUAAGAUCCGUAGUCAAGAGGGAAACAGCCCAGACCAUCAGCUAAGGUCCCAAAGUAUACGUUAAGUGGAGAAGGAUGUGGAGUUGCCCAGACAACCAGGAUGUUGGCUUAGAAGCAGCCACCAUUUAAAGAGUGCGUAAUAGCUCACUGGUCGAGUGACUCUGCGCCGAAAAUGUACCGGGGCUAAACGUAUCACCGAAGCUAUGGAUUGACACCUUUUGGUGUCAGUGGUAGGGGAGCGUUCUAAGUGCAGCGAAGUNAGACCGUAAGGACUGGUGGAGNGCUUAGAAGUGAGAAUGCCGGUAUGAGUAGCGAAAAGAGGGGUGAGAAUCCCCUCCGUCGAAAGCCCAAGGUUUCCUGAGGAAGGCUCGUCCGCUCAGGGUAAGUCGGGACCUAAGCCGAGGCUGAAAAGCGUAGGCGAUGGACAACAGGUUGAAAUUCCUGUACCACCUCCUCACCGUUUGAGUAAUGGGGGGACGCAGCAAGGUAGGGUAAGCGCACUGAUGGAUAUGUGCGUCCAAGCAAUUAGGCUGAGAAGUAGGCAAAUCCGCUUCUCGNGAAGGCUGAGUUGUGAUGGCGAGCGAAAUUUAAGUAGCGAAGUUCCUGAUCCUACACUGCCAAGAAAAGCCUCUANCGAGGUGAGAGGUGCCCGUACCGCAAACCGACACAGGUAGGCGAGAAGAGAAUUCUAAGACGCUCGGGAGAACUCUCGUUAAGGAACUCGGCAAAAUGACCCCGUAACUUCGGGAGAAGGGGUGCUCUGAUAGGGUGUUAAAGCCNGAGAGAGCCGCAGUGAAUAGAUCCAAGCGACUGUUUAGCAAAAACACAGGUCUCUGCGAAGCCGCAAGGCGAAGUAUAGGGGCUGACACCUGCCCGGUGCUGGAAGGUUAAGAGGAGGGGUUAUCCUUAGGGAGAAGCUCUGAAUUGAAGCCCCAGUAAACGGCGGCCGUAACUAUAACGGUCCUAAGGUAGCGAAAUUCCUUGUCGGGUAAGUUCCGACCCGCACGAAUGGUGUAACGAUUUGGAUACUGUCUCAACGAGAGACCCGGUGAAAUUAUAUUACCUGUGAAGAUGCAGGUUACCCGCGACAGGACGGAAAGACCCCAUGGAGCUUUACUGUAGCUUGAUAUUGGAUUUUGGUACAAUUUGUACAGGAUAGGUAGGAGCCAGAGAACCCGGAGCGCCAGCUUCGGUGGAGGCGUCGGUGGGAUACUACCCUGAUUGUAUUGAAAUUCUAACCUAGGACCGUGAUCCGGUUCGGGGACAGUGUCAGGUGGGCAGUUUGACUGGGGCGGUCGCCUCCUAAACAGUAACGGAGGCGCCCAAAGGUUCCCUCAGAAUGGUUGGAAAUCAUUCGUAGAGUGCAAAGGCAAAAGGGAGCUUGACUGCGAGACCUACAAGUCGAGCAGGGACGAAAGUCGGGCUUAGUGAUCCGGUGGUUCCGCAUGGAAGGGCCAUCGCUCAACGGAUAAAAGCUACCCUGGGGAUAACAGGCUUAUCUCCCCCAAGAGUCCACAUCGACGGGGAGGUUUGGCACCUCGAUGUCGGCUCAUCGCAUCCUGGGGCUGAAGUAGGUCCCAAGGGUUGGGCUGUUCGCCCAUUAAAGCGGUACGCGAGCUGGGACCGCUGGUGUACCAGUUGUUCCGCCAGGAGCAUAGCUGGGUAGCUACGUGUGGAAGGGAUAAGUGCUGAAAGCAUCUAAGCAUGAAGCCCCCCUCGAGAUGAGAUUUCCCUUGGAGUUAAUCCAGUAAGACCCCUUAAAGAUGAUGAGGUUGAUAGGUCUCGGGUGGAAGCACGGCGACGUGUGGAGCUGAGAGAUACUAAUCGGUCGAGGACUUAUCCUAAAA
rnacentral:rRNA from 1 species